GACGAACGCUGGCGGCGUGCUUAACACAUGCAAGUCGAACGGAAAGGCCCUGCUUUUGUGGGGUGCUCGAGUGGCGAACGUGUGAGUAACACGUGAGUAACCUGCCCUUGACUUUGUGAUAACUUCAGGAAACUGGGGCUAAUACCGGAUAGGAGCUCCUGCUGCAUGGUGGGGUUUGGAAAGUUUCGGCGGUUGGGGAUGGACUCGCGGCUUAUCAGCUUGUUGGUGGGGUAGUGGCUUACCAAGGCUUUGACGGGUAGCCGGCCUGAGAGGGUGACCGGCCACAUUGGGACUGAGAUACGGCCCAGAGUCCUACGGGAGGCAGCAGUGGGGAAUAUUGCACAAUGGGCGGAAGCCUGAUGCAGCAACGCCGCGUGCGGGAUGACGGCCUUCGGGUUGUAAACCGCUUUCGCCUGUGACGAAGCGUGAGUGACGGUAAUGGGUAAAGAAGCACCGGCUAACUACGUG
rnacentral:rRNA from 1 species